rnacentral:lncRNA from 1 species
AAGGGGAUCCUCAGAGGGAGGGGAGAAGACAGGGCUGCCUGCUUGCCACCAGGCACUGUGAAAGAGAGAACUUUAAAUCUUGGCCUCCACCAGGGAACUGCCUUAAUUAGGGUGGCGCCAAGCAUGAUGCUGUAAUUAACUGUGUGUCUGUGUUUCCAUCCCAAACGCCCAUUUCCAGAGCUUUGUGAUCCAGUCUUCUAAAGAGAAGCUCCAGCCAGAAACUUGGCACCAGCAGCCCCAGAGGGGAAGGAUGGCCAGAUUUCCCCUACUCUUCCCUCUUACCGCCCCACUCUGGUAACUUUGAUCUUCUUUGGGGAACCAGCCGCAUCCAUCUGUAGCCCUUGGGAAGGACCCAUGACCUAGUCUGGCCAAUCAGAGUGUUCAUCCCCUGGCCACAGUGAUUGGUCCAGUGUGGGUCUGAGCCAAUGUGACUCUGUUGCAGAAUCUUGAGAUGGAACUGUUACGGAAUGGUAUUUGCUUUUCUUGGUAAUUGCCAAGCUGGGAGGAUGUCAGUCUGGAGGUGCAGAGGCCAUGUUUGCCACCUCAUACAGGGAGAGUCUCUCAGUGAGACCAAAUUGAAGAAAGCACAGAAAAAAGAUGGAGGGUGCCAGAGACAGACCUAAUGGCAUCCUUUAAGCAGUUGACUCCAGCCAUACCUGAAGCAAAAUGCUCCCGGAGACUUUUAAUUAUGUCAGAGGCAAUAAAUUUCUAAUUUUUAUGUAUGUCAAUUUGUUUUAUGUGGUUUUGUUUGUUUGUUUUAGAGACAGAAUCUCACUCUGUUGCCCAG